GGGAACUAAAUUUAAAGACCGAUGGACGCAGGGGACGAUUUAUGAGGAUACGCGCUGGCGUUUCAAACUGUUUUGAAAGAAAGUGCAGAGGGGAUGGCGUCGGGCGGGUCUUGUCCAGACUGCGGGUCGUCUAAUGUGGUGGACGACGCUCUGUACUCCCAGAGCCAGCUGGUGUGUGCCGACUGUGGCUCGGUGCUGUCCGAAGGCCUGCUUACCACCACACGCAGCGAGGAGCAGUACAGCACAGGUUCCCCCAUGUAGAUGAACACGCGUGACUCAUGUGCAGUGCACAGUCAGCUCUGAAGUUACUCUGGUGAGGUGUGCAGCAUCUGCAGCUGAGCCCCGACGCUUGGUAAUAUUUGGUUAUAUGGCUUCUGUAUUUCAA